rnacentral:lncRNA from 1 species
UGCUCUAGGGCUCAUGCGGCCGGUCGCGUACCGGACCCGGGUGCUGGGUUCGGGGCGUGACAGAGUGGUAUCAGAGCUUAAGGUUGAGGUAUCCUAGGGUUUAUGUUCAGGUGAGUAUCAGUGGAAAAUUAUGAUAGAAAAACUAUCAGAGAUUUGGUUUAUAAUCACUUGAGAUUGUAACAAGAAUGAUAUUAUAAUCUAAGGUUUAAGACCACUAGGGACU